AGAGAAGCUCUGGGGCUUCAGUCAAUGACUCAGGGUAGCCACCGAACAUGAUGCUCGGGCAGUGGGUGCCACCUGGACUCCACUCUCCCCUCUCUCUGGGAUCAUAGAGUCCAAGGUGUUCUGUGGCCUCUCGGCCAAUCCCAGCAGCUCAGCGUGCAGAAGACCGAGGAGCCAUUGGAAUUCAACACAACACGAAAUAAUCAACAAAUUCGGGGAAUGUUAAUCUGACCAUCACCAGUUACAAAUGAUGUUUCAUGCUACCUUCUAUUCCUGCCUUCAUAAAUCAAGCUCUAAAUCUCCAGGAAAAAAUGUGCUCAGGAUGGCCAGAGAAAUGUCCUUCCAACUGUGCAUGGAAAGGUAUGAUUUUGUGCAGCAGGUGAAGGACUGGUUAGAGUAAGUGUGUGCUGAGCUUUUGUGUUUGAAAGCGAGCCUGUGCACUUCUAACGAUUGGAAGGUUUCCUUGCCUUCUCCGAUCUUACACACAGCAAGGACAGCAAAGCCUUCCAGACCUGCCUGUGACAUGCACUGCACAUUCUAAAGAUGCCUAUGCAAUGGAAAACACCACUGUCUGCUCCAGCACAGCUGCCAUUCUUCCAUCUUAUCGACCUUAAUGCAACAACUCCUCACAGGCAGAGAUUUUAAAAUGUGUUCUUGGCAGAAGAGAGACUCAAAGAUGGGACAAAUGUGUCAUUUAAAUGCCUGUUAAAAUGGAAACAGACAUAGUAUAGUCAGAGGAUUGUGGCAGCUAAGAACAUAGUCUCUGGAGCAAAUCUGCAUGGGUGGCAAUGCCAAGCACAUGAGGUCCUAGUUGUAUGAACUUAGGAAAAGAAAAAGAGAACAUAUAUCCCCCUACCUUUUGAUUUCCAACAGUCUACUGAGAGGCCAAGAUUAUUUGCAGGGAAAGAAAAGGGGUCAAAAUGUUUUGCCAGUAACUCCCAAAUCAUCUACAGCCAAGGAGAAAAGUGUUUCAAGACAGAGGUGCUCAAUGGUAUCAAAUACUGCCAACAGACCAAGUAAUACAUGCAUUGAAGUGUCUACUGGAUCUAGCUAUAUAUGAAGAAACUGAGGCAGACAGAGGUGAAGAAACUUGCACAAGGUCAAAGAACAAAGAGUCACAUUAGCAGCUGGAUAUUCAGCUGUGAAGCUCAAGGAAGAAGUCAGGGCUGGAGAUAUAUGAAUGAGAACCAUCUGCAUAAAGAUGAUCUUUAAAAUCAUGGAGCUGGAUGAAAUCUCUCUCCACUCCUCCCCACAGGGGAAUGGAGCAAUGCCCAGGGCGCCCUGGGGCACCUCAACCUGCAGAGGCCAGUCAAGCUGGCAAGGAGUAACAGAAGACUGAUGAAGAAUGGCCAGCAA
ensembl:lncRNA LINC00710 long intergenic non-protein coding RNA 710